rnacentral:SRP_RNA from 1 species
GCUGGGCAUGGUGGUGUAUGCCUGUAAUCCCAGCUACUUGGGAAGCUGAGGCAGGCGAAUUGCUUGAACCAAGGAGGUGGAGGUUGCAGUGAGCUGAGAUUGAGCCACUGUACUCUACCCUGGGUGACACAGUGAGACCCUGUUUUAA